rnacentral:rRNA from 1 species
AUUGAACGCUGGCGGCAUGCCUAACACAUGCAAGUCGAACGGAAGCACGGAUGUUGGCCCUUGAUUGAGCGGCGCACGGGUGAGUAAUACCUAUGGAACCGUCUCCUGGAGUGGGGUAACGUCCGGCAAAAGGCGGUUAAAUCCCGCACGCCCUGUGCGCGGAAGAGGGGGGGCUCCGGAGCUCCCGCGAUCAGGGGUUGGCCGGUGGCUUAUGGGCUUGUUGGGGGGGUAAAGGCCUACCAAGGCGACGACGAGUAACUGGUCUGAGAGGGCGACCAGGCACACUGGGACUGAGACACGGCCCAGACUCCUACGGGAGGCAGCAGUGGGGAAUGUUGGACAAUGGGCGAAAGCCUGAUCCAGCGAUGCCGCGUGUGUGAAGAAGGGCUUCGGGUUGUAAAGCACUUUUGGCCGGGAAGAAGGGCAUUGAGCUAAUACCGUCCUGGUAUGACGGUACCGGAAGAAUAAGCACCGGCUAACUACGUG